rnacentral:sRNA from 1 species
AUAACAAGAACAAAAUGUGAAAACCCAAUAAAAAUAAGAUGAAUCGGCUCUGACAUAACAAGAACAACGGCACAGAGACGCAGCCAACAGAUUUUUUUGGAGUAGACAUGCUUUACCGAGGCCCAGGCCUCGCAGCCCGACCGAGAAUAAUAAAACUACCCUCAGGUAGCGGCCAGUACGGGUUGGAUGACCUCUCACAGAAGAGGAAUCAAAGCAGAUCAGCGCUCAAAAAAAUACGUUUGCUCUUGUAUCCCGAAUGGGGAUCACUGAAGACGCUGUAGAGGGACCGGUUGCCAAUAACAACAACAGACCGCCCUAGAACAAUAAGAAAGAGCACGUGCAACGAUUUAAAGGGGAGCCUCGGCUCCCCUUUAUGCUGUCUGGCGUUUUGCUCUUGGCUUUUGG